ACCAGGUGCAGUGGCACGUGCCUAUAGUCCCAGCUACUCGGGAGGCUGAGGUGGGAGAAUCACUUGAGCACAGGAGUUCUGGGCUGUAGUGCACUAUGCCAAUCGGGUGUCCGCACUAAGUUCAGCAUCAAUACGGUGACCUGGGAGUGGGGGACCACCAGGUUGCCUAAGGAGGGAUGAACCGGCCUAGGUCAGAAAUGGAGCAGGUCAAAACCUCCGUGCUGAUCAGUAGUGGGAUCGCACCUAUGAAGAGCCACUGCACUCUAGCCUGGGCAACAUAGCGAGAUCCCGUCUCU
rnacentral:SRP_RNA from 1 species